AUAAAAGGACGCCACACACAAAAAAAAGUCAACAACAUCAUAUCAAAUUUCCACUAAAACAAUUACAAAAAAGCAAGACGGAUGUUUGUCGAAAUGACCAUAAGGUGGUGGUGGACGUCCUGAGAUAAAAGGGCCUCACUCAGCACAAGUCGCGGCGUGAACCACGACGCUGGUAUUAUGUGGACCCUGUUAGGUGACGCACGAACAUCGUAUUCCAUAAACAUGUGUUAAUGGUGUGUAUAUUCAAAUUCAAUUCAAAAAUAUACAUUAUAAUAUAUACCAAAUUAUUUUAAUAGAAUUAGAGUGUACAUAGACAAAUAUUAUCGCAAAGAUGUAUACGUAAAUACUUAAGGUUAGAAUAAAAAAGAAAGUUAUUAAUAUAGGUAAAACUAGUAAACAAAUGUAAUAAUAUAAACAAAUACGAAUUCCAUGAAUGUGUAUUGUGUAGUCUGUCUUAGUACCUAUCUAUCGCGCGCGCCGCACCCCGAUUCUAGCUCGGUCGGUAAAGUAGUUUGGUUACUACUAGUACUUACUUAUAAACAAAAUAUUUUUUUCCAUUCGACCGCCGCGCUGCCGAACGGGCACGACGUGUUCCCAAAGUAAAGCGAAAUUAUAAAUUUGUAAUAGAAUUGCGUAUAUUAAUUAAAAAGAAAAAAUAAAGUGAAUCAAAUAAAGCAAAUAUACAUUAACCAAAUAAGAAACAAUAAAUUAAGUACGUCCAGUACACUCAACAACAUCCAAAGUAAAUAAUGGAAACGUGCAGUCGUUUGAAAACCCCAAUAAACAAAUCCAUGAGACCAUGCAAACAUUACCCGACGGAAAAUAAUAAUAAUCAUGACAAAGGUUGUGUCGCCGCAUCCAGCCCGCUAGGAGGACUGCGCCACGUUGACGUGUCGAAACCAAUUAGUGAAGCAGCG